rnacentral:ncRNA from 2 species
CUCUUAUUCAGAGUGAUGGAGAUACAUAGGAUCUGUGAAGUCACGGCAACCCCUCUACGGAAGGUGCCUACCUGAGCGAGUAAUGCUGUUAAUUCAGUUCGAACAAUAAGAG